CUUUCGCCUGCGAAGCUGGACUCUAGCUAGUCCUGGUGUGCUGGCCCCGGGAGUGUAAUUUCCGACGCCUAGCGCCGCAGAGCUUACAUUCUUGAGUGCGUUUUCGCUGGUGUACAAGUCGUCCUGUUGCUAAUAGCAGAAUCCUGACAGUGAAAGAAAAGCACUAGAAGGAACUUUUAGUCGUUGUUGAUUUGGCCGUUACGCUGAUGCCCCAAUCAAAAAAAGAAUUCUAAGACUGAUGAUCAGCCAUACAGAAGAAUAUAUUGAACUUACAGUUUUCUGAAGAAUCAGUUCAAAGAUCUCAGAAAUACAAAAGGAGAAGUACAAAUGUCUACCACA
rnacentral:lncRNA from 1 species